rnacentral:rRNA from 1 species
AACGAACGCUGGCGGCAUGCCUAACACAUGCAAGUCGAACGAGACCUUCGGGUCUAGUGGCGCACGGGUGCGUAACGCGUGGGAACCUGCCCUUAGGUUCGGAAUAACUCCCCGAAAGGGGUGCUAAUUCCGGAUAAUGUCUUCGGACCAAAGAUUUAUCGCCUUUGGAUGGGCCCGCGUUGGAUUAGCUAGUUGGUAGGGUAAAAGCCUACCAAGGCGACGAUCCAUAGCUGGUCUGAGAGGAUGAUCAGCCACACUGGGACUGAGACACGGCCCAGACUCCUACGGGAAGCAGCAGUGGGGAAUAUUGGACAAUGGGCGAAAGCCUGAUCCAGCAAUGCCGCGUGAGUGAUGAAGGCCUUAGGGUUGUAAAGCUCUUUUACCCGGGAUGAUAAUGACAGUACCGGGAGAAUAAGCUCCGGCUAACUCCGUG